AAGUGUUUAAAGCAGGCUCACGCUUGAAUACAUUAGCAUGGAAUAAUGAAAUAGGAUGUUUGAUUCUAUUUUGUUGGUUUCUAGGAUCGACGUAAUGAUUAAUAGGGAUAGUUGGGGGCAUUAGUAUUCAAUUGUCAGAGGUGAAAUUCUUUGGAUUUAUUGAAGACUAACUACUGCGAAAGCAUUUGCCAAGGAUGUUUUCAUUAAUCAAGAACGAAAGUUAGGGGAUCGAAGACGAUCAGAUACCGUCGUAGUCUUAACCAUAAACUAUGCCGACUAGGGAUCGGAUGAUGUUAAUUUUUUAAUGACUCAUUCGGCGCCUUACG
rnacentral:rRNA from 1 species